GUUGUCCAAAAUUCUGUGGACAACAGACAUAAGAAAUGUGCAGAAACAACUGUUCAUGGAUACGGUAUCACCUCUACACAACACUGAUGAGUAAAGAAAGAUUUGUUUAGGCAGUAUCAGCAGAAGCUGGCAUUUUAUACCAUUGCAGUCUGCUUUUAACGCACAUCAAUAGAAAUCAGUGACACUCAGCAACACGUUAGUAUAGGUGACUGCUGCUUAAAGGGAAAAACAGUUCUAAAAUAUCCAGAUCAUCAAUAAAAUGAAGCCUUGGCUAUGAAACAUACCACGCCUUUUAACUCGCCACUUCAGCUCAGUAGUAAAACACUAAAAAUAAUAAUUUAUAAUACAUUUUAGCAAUCCACUUGCUUUUCUCGCUCCUAUUUUCAAAGCUAUCCUUAGUGUUAGUUUAGGCACUGGGACAGCACAAUAUAUGACCGCAUCCUUAACUUUGCCAAGUUAUAAUCUUGCAGGACAUAAAUAAUAAUGUCCAACACUUUCUUCUUAGAAGAAUGGUGACAACAGCCAAGGCACAUCCAUGACUCCUGUCCCUGGCUGUGCUGGCUUACAGCAGCCAAGGUCAGCUGUUAGAAGCUAUUCUGCCAUCCAGGGAACUGGCCAGAAGAUCAAAAUUCAACCUUAAAAACCAGUAAUUCCUGUGACAGGACAUCCGACUGCACGCAGGUUAAGGCAUCUCAAAUGAAGUCAUGCACAUCCAUACCUUGCUUUAAACAUCAGCUGUCAAGGUACAAGCAACUUGUUUGCCAUGGGCAGUUUUUUAACUUCAUGGGAAAGGACAGGGAAGGAAGAGAGUUGCCUCUUACUCUGCCAUGAGCUCUCCGUGCUAAGAUCAAAAGAGACUCCAUAAUAACAACCCUAUUUUUAAUAUAUGAGGGAUAACGCGCAGCCUAAGAAAGAACACUAUCUCAUCAGUGCACAGCUAUUUUCUAUCACUCAGACAAGAAAGAACAACCUUGCACACACAAAAGCAGGCUCUGGCCCUGCUUUUAGAAGCCAUUUGUGUCUAGCUCAAAGGAAAAAGCUCAGGUUUGCUUUCUGUAUAGUUGGGACCCAAAGCUGCCAGGAAUAUCCCACAGCAGAGCAGAGCUGUGCCUCUAAAGAACCCCGUCACACCCAUGGCCAUCAGCAAUAUCAGUGUGCUCGGGCUGAGCUGCCCUUUGAAUCUUUUGUGCCUAUUUGUACCCAUAUAUUUGGCAUCCUCUGUCAGCAAGUCUAAAUUACAUAUUCUCCAAUGAUGUCCAAACAAAACGAUAAUUCUUACCUUAGAUAAAGCUGACCAGUGGUAACAGUUCAAAAGGAUAAAGAAGCAACUUUCCAAGGACUCACUGCAUUUCUAGGAGCUCUUUAAACCACUCUAAUGAUGCAAACACAGCAAAUGUCUUUGACUCUCAACAUGCCAUCAAGGGGAAAACAAAGAUUUCCACCAGUUAGAAGGAUGCUUUCCGCUCAUCACAAUGUUCCCUGUAUUGCAUUCCAUCAUUAAGGAGUUAACUGAAAAAUCACAGAAUUGUAGGGGUUGGAAGGGACCUCUGGAGAGCAUCUUGUCCAACUCCCAGCUCAAGCAGGUUCCCUAGAUAUUAUGGCACUAACCAUACUUAUACAGACAAUAUGGGCUGUCUUGCUUUCCUGCACAUUUCAUAGGAGCACCCAGUCUAUCAGGCACGGUCUCGGGAAGAUUUUCCCACUCAUCUCAUUUCUGGCAGCACCAAACAUAAUUUGCAAGAACACGGAGCUCUGGAAAAGGUGUAGCAUUCCUGGUGAUGAAUAAUACACAACACCCUCAUCUCAGCUCCCAGAACUGCAGCACAAUUCAGGCAGAAACAGCCACCUCUGGCCCAGUCCUGCUCUGUGGCAGACGCUGAUGUGCAGCAGGGAAGGGAUGCUGCAGAGCAGCCGCAUUCUCACCUCCUGAUGGGCCUCUGCAGCUCCUCAGCACUCCGUUCUUUCCUGCUGGACAUGGAGAUGCUCCCUGUAUAGGAGCUGAAAUGCACCGACAGCUCUGCUCAUGCCUGGGGUGGACAUGGAUGUUCUCCUCACCUGGGCUGCAGUACGUGAGAAGAUCUGUGGGAUACAGACCCACAGUUAACCCAGCAUCUUAGUCAGGAGACAACGUACCCUUGUUCAUUGCCUUAUCACAAGGUCCUUGUUUAUCAGCUGUGCCAUACUAGAGACAUACACCUUCCUCUUUGCCCACACACGAACCGUUACUUAAAUCCACAGAUGUGACAGCCAUUGGGUUUUGCCCAUUUCAAAACACUGGUGGUAGCUUUUAAUAAAAUGAUGUUUAACAAAACAAAAUCUGCUUCAAUCACAUCCUAUCCCCUUUUAGACUGUGCACGUAACAAUGUGUGAACCA
ensembl:lncRNA